CUGGAAGGAAAACACUGAUUAGCAAUUUCACUAAAAACCCCUGAAAUAUCAGCAAAACGCACAAGACAUCCAAAUUUAAUAUCAAUGUGUUACAAAUAAUUUGCAUCAUUAUUAUAUUUUCACUUCUAAGGUUGAUGUGUUUGUUAAAAUAUAUCAAAUUUUAUUUUGUUUCUUUUACAUGGUUAUACAUCAUUUUUCAUCAAUUUCUAGAAUCCAUAACAAGUCUUACAAUUUGAUUCUUGAUUUCCAAUUUACUAAGGCUCUAUUUGGAUGGGGCAAGAGAAAGGUAAUUAAUGAAAAGGUAAGAAAGGAUAUGUAGGGGGAAUGAUAUACUUGGAAAGGGGUGAACUAAUGAAAAGGUAAAGAGAAGUCAUGUAUAUUUUUUAUAUUUUCGAAGAGAUGAAGGAAGGAUAAAUUUGAGGGCUCUAAGAAAUAAAAUAGUUUAUAACUCUCAUCUCCUUCUCCUCACACCUACCAAAUUGCGGUGUAAGACAAUUGAAAUUUGAAGGGUCAAGGAAGGUAACACUUACCUGUAUUUACCCUUACCCUUUACUCACUCACCUCUUUCCAAAUAGGGGUACACAAGUUACUUACCCCUCUUUGCUUUUAUUUACCCCUUUUCACCCUCAUCCAAAUAGAGAGUAAAGGACAUUUUGAUUCUCAAUUUGACAACUCACCAAAUGAACUGAUCAUUAAAAUCUUGUCAAGAGAAAAACAUUCAAACAACAAUUACAUAAAUAGGUCACACAAUGCUAUAAUAGUGAUAUUGAAAUUGAUAAAAUC
rnacentral:misc_RNA from 1 species